UGGGGAAUUUUGGACAAUGGGGGCAACCCUGAUCCAGCAACGCCGCGUGAAUGAAGAAGGCCUUAGGGUUGUAAAGUUCUUUUGUCUGGGAGCAAAGCGCUAUGGAUAAUACCUAUGGUGAAUGAGAGUACCAGAAGAAUAAGCACCGGCUAACUACGUGCCAGCAGCCGCGGUAAUACGUAGGGUGCGAGCGUUAAUCGGAAUUACUGGGCGUAAAGGGUGCGCAGGCGGAUAUGUAAGUUAGAUGUGAAAUCCCCGGGCUUAACCUGGGAACGGCAUUUAAGACUGCAUGUCUAGAGUUUGUCAGAGGGGGGUAGAAUUCCAAGUGUAGCAGUGAAAUGCGUAGAGAUUUGGAGGAAUACCGGUGGCGAAGGCGACCCCCUGGGAUAGAACUGACGCUCAGGCACGAAAGCGUGGGUAGCAAACAGG
rnacentral:rRNA from 1 species